rnacentral:tRNA from 1 species
GCCUUCGUGGUGUAAUGCAGCACACUGAGUCGGUAUUUCAGAGGUCCGUGGUUCGAUCCCCGGCGAAGGCU